rnacentral:RNase_P_RNA from 1 species
CCAAAAGACCGGAUGGCCGCUUCUUUCUUGACUGAAAGGGGAGGAAAGUCCGGGCUUCACGGAAAAUCGGCGCCGGGUAACGCCCGGGGGAGGCUGAAAGGUCUUUACGGAAAGUGCCACAGAAAACAGACGACCUCUUCCUCACGGAAGCGGACAAGGUGAAAAGGUGCGGUAAGAGCGCACCGCGCGACUGGUAACAGGAGCGGCACGGCAAACCCCGCCGGAAGCAAGACCAAAUAGGGACCGCAUACCCUUAAAACGGCAGGAUGCUUUCCGGAUCCGCGGUCCGGGUAGGUUGCUAGAGGGGACGGGUAACCGUCACCCCAGAGGAAUGGCCAUCACCGGGCGGGGUUUAGGCUCCAUCCGGUACAGAACCCGGCUUACAGGUACUUUUGGAUAU